CCUACGGGAGGCAGCAGUGAGGAAUAUUGGUCAAUGGACGAGAGUCUGAACCAGCCAAGUAGCGUGAAGGAUGACUGCCCUAUGGGUUGUAAACUUCUUUUAUAUGGGAAUAAAAUGUUCCACGUGUGGGAUUUUGUAUGUACCAUAUGAAUAAGGAUCGGCUAACUCCGUGCCAGCAGCCGCGGUAAUACGGAGGAUCCGAGCGUUAUCCGGAUUUAUUGGGUUUAAAGGGAGCGUAGGUGGAUUGUUAAGUCAGUUGUGAAAGUUUGCGGCGCAACCGUAAAAUUGCAGUUGAAACUGGCAGUCUUGAGUACAGUAGAGGUGGGCGGAAUUCGUGGUGCAGCGGUGAAAUGCUUAGAUAUCACGAAGAACUCCGAUUGCGAAGGCAGUUCACUGGACUGCAACUGACACUGAGGCUCGAAAGUGUGGGUAUCAAACAGGAUUAGAUACCCCUGUAGUC
rnacentral:rRNA from 1 species